GUAGGUGGCAAGCGUUGUCCGGAAUUAUUGGGCGUAAAGCGCGCGCAGGUGGUUCGUUUAAGUCUGAUGUGAAAGACCCCCGGGCGUCAACCGGGGAGGGGUCAUUGGAAACUGGGGAACUUGAGUGCAGGAGAGGAAAGUGGAAUUCCACGUGUAGCGGUGAAAUGCGUAGAUAUGUGGAGGAACACCAGUGGCGAAGGCGACUUUCUGGCCUGUAACUGACACUGAGGCGCGAAAGCGUGGGGAGCAAACAGGAUUAGAUACCCUGGUAGUCCACGCCGUAAACGAUGAGUGCUAAGUGUUGGGGGGGUUUCCGCCCCUCAGUGCUGCAGCUAACGCAUUAAGCACUCCGCCUGGGGAGUACGGUCGCAAAGACUG
rnacentral:rRNA from 1 species